UGAGCUACUCCUCACAGACGUCCGUGAGCCCGUCUGAGUCUGGGGAAUCCAAGUGGUUUGCUCAUAGACAGAGGAAUGAAGGAAAAAGAGAGGAAGAGAAACAUCAAUGUGCAAGAGAAACAUCAAUCAGUUGCCUCUCACUCCCUCCCAACCAGGGACCUGGCCCGCAACCCAGGCACGUGCCCUGACCGGGACUCAAACUGUCAACCCUUCAGAUCGCAGGCUGGCUCUCAGGCCAUGGCACCACACCAGCCAGGCCAGGCUGUAAUUUAUUUCUCCAUUCACCACUGAUGGACACUGUAUUGUUUCAAGUUGUUGGUGUUUUGCAAACAAACCUGCCAUGGACGUUCAUGUACAAGUCUCCGUGUGGACACAUGCCCUCACUUCUCCUGGGUUACCUACUGUCCUUCCAUUGGUGGCACAUUUAUUGGAGUUUUAUCUCCCAUUCGUUCUCCCGUCUACUUCUCCAAAUUAGAAUGAGAACCUUUCUU